rnacentral:rRNA from 1 species
UGGUGGGUUGCCUUGUCAGGUUGAUUCCGGUAACGAACGAGACCUCAGCCUACUAAAUAGUCACGGGUGCUUUUUGCACUCGGCUGAACUUCUUAGAGGGACUAUUGUCGUUUAGGCAAUGGAAGUAUGAGGCGAUAACA